GAUGAACGCUAGCUACAGGCUUAACACAUGCAAGUCGAGGGGUAACAAGAGAAAAGCUUGCUUUUCUUGUUGACGACCGGCGCACGGGUGAGUAACACGUAGGUAAUCUACCCUUGGGCGGGGGACAACCUUCCGAAAGGAGGGCUAAUACCACAUAAGACCACGGCACCUUCGGGUGCUGAGGCAAAAGAUGGCCUCUGCAUGCAAGCUAUCACCUGGGGAUGAGCCUGUGGCCCAUCAGCUAGUUGGUGGGGUAAUGGCCUACCAAGGCUUAGACGGGUAGCUGGUCUGAGAGGACGAUCAGCCACACUGGAACUGAGACACGGUCCAGACUCCUACGGGAGGCAGCAGUGGGGAAUCUUGCGCAAUGGGCGAAAGCCUGACGCAGCGACGCCGCGUGGGUGAUGAAGGCCUUCGGGUUGUAAAGCCCUGUGGAGAGGGACGAAUAGGUCGUGACCUAAUACGUCAUGGCUGUGACGGUACCUCUUUAGCAAGCACCGGCUAACUCUGUGCCAGCCGCCGCAGUAA
rnacentral:rRNA from 1 species